rnacentral:rRNA from 1 species
GACCAGACUCCUACGGGAGGCAGCAGUGGGGAAUAUUGCACAAUGGGGGAAACCCUGAUGCAGCAACGCCGCGUGAGUGAAGAAGUAUUUCGGUAUGUAAAGCUCUAUCAGCAGGGAAGAAGAUGACGGUACCUGAUUAAGAAGCCCCGGCUAACUACGUGCCAGCAGCCGCGGUAAUACGUAGGGGGCAAGCGUUAUCCGGAUUUACUGGGUGUAAAGGGGGCGCAGACGGCGAUGCAAGCCAGGAGUGAAAGCCCGGGGCCCAACCCCGGGACUGCUCUUGGAACUGCGUGGCUGGAGUGCAGGAGGGGCAGGCGGAAUUCCUGGUGUAGCGGUGAAAUGCGUAGAUAUCAGGAGGAACACCGGCGGCGAAGGCGGCCUGCUGGACCGUGACUGACGUUGAGGCUCGAGAGCGUGGGGAGCAAACAGGAUUAGAUACCCUCGUAUCA